GCUUCCUCUGAUGAAGGAUCAGGGAUGCAGAAUGGGACUGAUGUACCUGUUCAACCAUCCCACUCAUUCUCCUCACUUUGCAUGCUCUUCUCGGGGCCAUCUACAGACAGGUAGAUGCAAGAAAACACUGGACAGAAAGGAAGGUUCCAGCAGACAGCAUCUCUAGCUCUCACUUUUGGAGCAUGACGAGGGUGGCCCUGGAAGCUCCAGUUUCUGACUGAACUGAGUUGGUGAGCAGAAGCACAUCAUCUGCCAGGCCACAAGAGGACAGCAGUGGUUCGAGAUCCAGGAUUCUAAUUUGCAUGGGUCUUUAUUGAUGAAUGUGCUGGAAAAACCCCAGAAUGAUAUCAGCAUCCCAAGCUGAAACCGGGCCAUGCUUUCCGUCCUUCCAGAAUAUUCUGACAUCACUGUUGUCUCUAUUAUCACAGACUCACUGAGAAAGUAUGAGAAAUGAUUUACCUAAAAGAAAAACAGGAGCAAGUCCUUUUGUGUCUCCUGGCCCACGUGGUCAGAACUGGGGUAAUAAUGAAGUAUGCUGAUGUGAACUGUGACGGCUCUGCAAGACACCUGGCGGAGGUUUCGAUGAUGCUGAAGUUCUCAAUGUUGCCGUAUGUCAAUAGUUUGAUGGAAAAAUAAAUCUGUGAAGUUUAGAGGUUGGGGAUUGGCCCCAA